UAUAUACUACCUCCGUUCCAAAAUUCUGGUCUUAGAUUUGUCUACAAAUGAAUAUAUCUAAAUACUAAAAUGUGACUAGAUACAUACAUAUCUACACAAACGUAAGACAAGAAUUUUGAGACGGAGGGAGUACAAA
rfam:Hordeum vulgare subsp. vulgare, WGS project CAJW01000000 data, contig: morex_contig_1566091